rnacentral:rRNA from 1 species
GUGGGGAAUCUUGCGCAAUGGGCGAAAGCCUGACGCAGCCAUGCCGCGUGAAUGAUGAAGGUCUUAGGAUUGUAAAAUUCUUUCACCGGGGACGAUAAUGACGGUACCCGGAGAAGAAGCCCCGGCUAACUUCGUGCCAGCAGCCGCGGUAAUACGAAGGGGGCUAGCGUUGCUCGGAAUUACUGGGCGUAAAGGGCGCGUAGGCGGACAGUUUAGUCAGAGGUGAAAGCCCAGGGCUCAACCUUGGAAUUGCCUUUGAUACUGGAUGUCUUGAGUACGGGAGAGGUGAGUGGAACUCCGAGUGUAGAGGUGAAAUUCGUAGAUAUUCGGAAGAACACCAGUGGCGAAGGCGACUCACUGGCCCGUUACUGACGCUGAGGCGCGAAAGCGUGGGGAGCAAACAGGAUUAGAUACCCGAGUAGUCC